rnacentral:rRNA from 1 species
AUCCUACGGGAGGCAGCAGUGAGGAAUAUUGGUCAAUGGACGAGAGUCUGAACCAGCCAAGUAGCGUGAAGGAUGACUGCCCUAUGGGUUGUAAACUUCUUUUAUAAGGGAAUAAAGUGAGGGACGUGUCCCUUUUUGUAUGUACCUUAUGAAUAAGGAUCGGCUAACUCCGUGCCAGCAGCCGCGGUAAUACGGAGGAUCCAAGCGUUAUCCGGAUUUAUUGGGUUUAAAGGGAGCGUAGGUUGACAUAUAAGUCAGCUGUGAAAGUUUACGGCUCAACCGUGAAAUUGCAGUUGAUACUGUAUGUCUUGAGUGUACAAGAGGUGGGCGGAAUUCGUGGUGUAGCGGUGAAAUGCUUAGAUAUCACGAAGAACUCCAAUUGCGAAGGCAGCUCACUGGGGUACAACUGACACUGAGGCUCGAAAAUGUGGGUAUCAAACAGGAUUAGAUACCCUGGUAGUCCACACAGUAAACGAUGAAUACUCGCUGUUUGCGAUAUACAGUAAGCGGCCAAGCGAAAGCAUUAAGUAUUCCACCUGGGGAGUACGCCGGCAACGGUGAAACUCAAAGGAAUUGACGGAAU